UGGGGAAUCUUGCACAAUGGAGGAAACUCUGAUGCAGCGACGCCGCGUGAGCGAUGAAGCCCUUCGGGGUGUAAAGCUCUUUCGACGGGAACGAUAAUGACGGUACCCGAAGAAGAAGCUGCGGCUAACUACGUGCCAGCAGCCGCGGUAAUACGUAGGCAGCAAGCGUUGUUCGGAAUUACUGGGCGUAAAGAGUGUGUAGGCGGUGUUCUAAGUUUGUCGUGAAAUCUCCCGGCUUAACUGGGAGGGUGCGGCGAAAACUGGAAUGCUAGAGGAUGGGAGAGGUAAGCGGAAUUCCUGGUGUAGCGGUGAAAUGCGUAGAUAUCAGGAGGAACACCUGUGGUGUAGACAGCUUACUGGACCAUUUCUGACGCUGAGACACGAAAGCGUGGGUAGCAAACAG
rnacentral:rRNA from 1 species